UAAUACAGAGGCCUCGAGCGUUAGGCGGAAUCACUGGGCUUAAAGCGCGUGUAGGCGGAUCGUUAAGUGUCUUGUGAAAUCCCACGGCUCAACCGUGGAACUGCUGGGCAUACUGGCGAUCUUGGGCCACUCAGGGGCAACCGGAACAAGCGGUGGAGCGGUGAAAUGCGUAGAUAUCGCUUGGAACGCCAAAGGUGAAGACAGGUUGCUGGGGGUGUGCCGACGCUGAGACGCGAAAGCCAGGGGAGCAAACGGGAUUAGAUACCCCGGUAGUCCUGGCCCUAAACGAUGUCCACUGGGUCGCGGCCCCUUGACGGGGGUCGCGGCCGGAGCAAAAGUGUUAAGUGGACCGCCUGGGAAGUACGGUCGCAAGGCUA
rnacentral:rRNA from 1 species